GAAAAAAUGAAAAUGGACGGUCGCUAGUUUCUUUUUAGCACGUGAAGUUAUUUUUAUUUAUUUGCAUUAAAAACAAAUUGCCGUCAAACUGGGUGCCAAAACGGUGGAGAGAUUCCUGAGCCUGGCGGACAGCAAUUUUGUUGACGAUGUGAAUGACGACCUAAAAUGUUUUGUGGCCGAACAAAAAGUUGACAGUGUCCUGGUGUUCCCUCCAGUGAGCAACUACCGAAGGUUUCUCAUCCAUCGCUGUGUGGAAGACCUCGGUGUACUGGAUCUUGCUACAUUCUCCAUAGGAGUCAGCGACGAACGUCGUACUGUCGUCUGUUAUAAGGACAAAUUGCUAAGUGAUGAAGCUUGCGCCCGCCCUACUAUGGGACUGACACAUAUGGACCGUGAGAAUGCGCCCUUAUCAGGACAAG
rnacentral:lncRNA from 1 species